UACGGAGGGGGUUAGCGUUGUUCGGAAUUACUGGGCGUAAAGCGCACGUAGGCGGAUCAGAAAGUUGGGGGUGAAAUCCCGGGGCUCAACCCCGGAACUGCCUCCAAAACUCCUGGUCUUGAGUUCGAGGAGUGAGUGGAGUACGUCAGUGUAGAGGUGAAAUUCGUAGAUAUUCGGAGGAACACCAGUGGCGAAGGCGGCUCACUGGCUCGAUACUGACGCUGAGGUGCGAAAGUGUGGGGAGCAAACAGGAUUAGAUACCCCUGUAGUCC
rnacentral:rRNA from 1 species